rnacentral:rRNA from 1 species
AAUGAACGCUGGCGGCGUGCCUAACACAUGCAAGUCGAACGCGAAAGUCCGCAAGGAUGAGUAAAGUGGCGCACGGGUGAGUAAUGCAUAGGAAUCUGCCUUUUAGUGGAGAAUACCCUGGAGAAAUUCAGGUUAAUACUGCAUAAUCCGGGAACGGGAAAGGUGGCCUCAAGCUACCGCUGAAAGAUGAGCCUAUGUCCUAUUAGCUAGUUGGUGAGGUAAAGGCUUACCAAGGCGAAGAUGGGUAACCGGCCUGAGAGGGCGAUCGGUCACACUGGAACUGAGACACGGUCCAGACUCCUACGGGAGGCAGCAGUGGGGAAUAUUGCACAAUGGGCGCAAGCCUGAUGCAGCGACGCCGCGUGGAGGAUGAAGGUUUUCGGAUUGUAAACUCCUGUUAAGUGGGAAGAAAGACUGCGGCCUAAUACGUCGCGGGGAUGACGGUACCACUAGAGAAAGCACCGGCAAACUUCGUGCCAGCAGCCGCGGUAAGG